rnacentral:lncRNA from 1 species
AUGGAUGGGGGAAGGGCGAAGGGGGCCCCACCUCUGUUCAAGUUCGAGCUUUUGGGUCCAGCCCUGAAACAGCAGCGGAACCCCCACCCCCCGCGGAAACCCCCUUUCCCAGCCCUCCGCAUUCGUCGGCGGUUAACUCCCUCCUCGCCUGGCUCAGCCCGGGUGCGAGCGCAGCCUGUGCGGCCGGGGAUGGGGAGCCUCUCUGCCGCCCCGUUGCGCGCACCCGCGGCUUGGGACCGCAGUCAGGAGCCGCCCUCCCUCUGGCUCCGGGGUCCCAGGCCACCCGAACGCGGGCGAAAGGGGGCCCAUCCCGCGCCCCGAAACUUACCGCGCAGGAGGCCGAUCCCCAGAAGCAGCAGCAGCGGGGCAGCAGCCGCGGCGCCCCGGGGCCCCGAGCUCCAUGGCGCACGCACCUCGCGGGCUCUAGAUGCGGGCGGCUCCCGGCUCCCCGGCUCCGAGGCCCGUGCGCGCCCAACUUCAUGCCUCCCGCGCCUCGCGGGCCGCUUCGGCCGCUGGGCCCGGUUCCGCUUCUUCUGCGGGGCGCGGUGCGGCGGCGGCGGGGCCGGGAGCGCCGGGCUGUGGGCUCCGUGGCGCGGCCCCGCCCGGCCCUGCCCGCCUCAGCCGGCUGGGAGGGGGAGCAGGGGAGGGAGAGGAGGGGGAGCAGAGGAGGGGGAAGAAGGGGAGGGGGAAGUAUGGGGGGAGGGGACGGAGGGAGGGAAGGGAGGAGGGAGCAAGGGCCGGGGAGAAGGAGCGGUGACGGACCGCGCGCCCGAGGGGGACUGGGAGGCUGCGCUGGGCCCCGGGCAGGGCCGUUCAGGACUCUCUCCGCCUGCAGCCCCCGCCUCCCCCGGUACCUCCGCCAGGAUCCAAGAGGCGUCCAGAGGGGAGCCCAGGCCCUGCGCCCGCCUUCUGGUGAGGAAGAUCCCCUCCCCAUCAAGGUCCAGCCUGGGGUCAGGGUCUGUCGGCCCCCACCCCUUGCGUGGCCUGCGAGCCCCGUGGACUUCGUGGCAUGAAGUCACGCCCCCAUCCCCCCUGCAGUGGGUGAGGGCGUGUAACAGAGCGUCUCCCCGGCCGGGUGCUUGGAGAGCAGACCCGAGGCGCCCCUGGCCUGGCAUUGAACAAUACGGGUCGCCCCCGGAGGUGGCGCACGGUCCCCAGGGAAGGGCCCCGCCCUCAGGUGGGUGGCUAGGUGGCCGCCCACAGAGUAGCAGGUGCGUUGGAGGAGGGGCGCCUUGUGCGGCUGAACUUCGCGUGCAGGAGGAGAGGGCACUGGCUCUGCGGAAACAUCAGACCCGGCCAUCCCUGCAGCCGCGCCCCUGGCCCAGCCUCAGGCUCAGCCGUUGGGACACAGCCCCCGAAAACGGAGACUUCCGUCGUCGGUAA